AAUAUAAUUAAAAGACGAGAAGACCCUAUAGAUCUUUAUUUUCGUUAAUUACAAAUUAAAAAGAAUAAUUAAAUUUAUAGUUUAAUAAACAAUUUUACUGGGGUGGUAUUAAAAUUUAAUAAAC
rnacentral:rRNA from 2 species